rnacentral:rRNA from 1 species
AUUGAACGCUGGCGGCAGGCCUAACACAUGCAAGUCGAGCGGAGCGGCUGACGAGUGAGUAAUGCCUAGGAAUCUGCCUGGUAUUGGGGUAUAACGUCCGGGAACGGGCGCUAAUACCGCAUACUAUCAGAUGAUCCUAGGUCGGCUUAGCUAGUUGGUGGUUUAAAGGCCUACCAAGUCGACGAUCCGUAACUGGUCUGAGAGUAUGAUCAGUCACACUGGAACUGAGAAAAGGUCAAGACUCCUACGGUAGGCAGCAGUGGGGAAUAUUGGACAAUGGGCGAAAGCCGGAUCCAGCCGUGCGGCGUGUGUGAAGAAGGUCUUCGGAUUGUAAAGCACUAUAAGUUGGGAGGCGUUACCAACAGAAUAAGCACCGGCUAACGUCGUGCCAGCAGCCGCGGUAAGUC